GUCCGCAUGGCGAAGUGGUACCGCGUCGCUCUCCGGAGGCGAAGGUCAUGGGUUCAAACCCCAUUGUGGACG